rnacentral:rRNA from 1 species
UAAAAUUAAAAAAUUUGGCGGUAUUUUAGUCUAUUCAGAGGAACCUGUUCUAUAAUCGAUAAUCCACGAUUUAUUUUACUUACUUUAAUAAAUUUAUAUAUCGUCGUUUAGAAUAUUUUAAAAGAAAAAUAAUAUUCGAAAAUUUUAAUAAGAAAAAAUGUCAGAUCAAGGUGUAGUUUAUAAGUAAGAAGAAAUGGGUUACAAUAAAAAUAUUUUUGGAUGAAGAAAUGAAAUUUUCUUUUGAAAUUGGAUUUGAAAGUAAUUUUUUUAAAUUAAGAAAAAUGAUUUGAGCUCUAAAAUAUGCACAUAUCGCCCGUCGCUUUUGUUUUAAGAUGAAAUAAGUCGUAACAAAGUAGGCUUACUGGAAAGUGAGCCUAGAAUG